CUCACUUUUCCCUCCUCCCAAUACACUCAUUUUCGAGACUGAACGAGACUCAACAAUAUUCAACAACUGUGCAACUUCUCUCUCCAUUAUCAACCUUGACUAUUCUCCCUUUGUAUCUACAGUUCAUUUCAAAAAUCUCUCCUUGCAUUCAGGUUUCAUUCAGAGACUCGGCCAGGGCUCCAAUACUCAUCAAGGAUCUUGUCCAGGGAAACCAAGUCUGGAAGAUGCUGAUAAGGGCUAUUGAUUUGUGGGUUGUUAAGGAAAAAACAGGACAACAACACCUUGAGUUGAUCAUUUAAGAUGGAAAGGAGCUUUUCUCUAAGCUUGGAGACUUAAAGCGCAAUGUUGUUCACUAUAACAAAAAUGGAAUCCCAACUGUAAGUAUUUGAAUCGCUAUUUCCUUGUGAUGCACUGAUGCAGUAGGUUUUAUAUGAACUGAAAUUAUCGUAAGCUUCUUGAAUGCAUUAGACUCACGUUGAAUUAUAAAGUUUGUUUUCUUUCUAAGUAAGAUUUCAUGGUAAUGUAUCUUUUGAAAUUCUUUUCUAUUUUCAGAGUUGCUGCUUCACGUCGAUAUCGCCUGUAAAGCUUCCGAGCCAAUAUGUAAUUUAGAAUGGUUUAUAACAUUAAUAGAAAACAGUUAUAAUAGUGAUUAGAUACUUUUUCAGCCCAGCUCCAUUUGCAGGACAUGUUCGCUGCUGGUAUUGAAACUUCAUUUGGUGUUGUGGCAUGGUGUAUGUCUGAGAUAGUAAAGAAUCUCAAGGUGAUGGUAGAAGCACAAGCAGAGGUGAAAAGAGUGUUUGAUAAAAAAGGGUUAAACUAUUUACCGACACUUUGGUUAAGACCACGGUGGAACCUGGGCGCCGCUAUUUCAAUUUCCCUGUACUUUAUUUAAGGAAACAUGUUGUUGGCGGCAUGAUAUAUGUUCCAGUGAUUUUGGUAAACAGACUUUAUCUGAGUCCCUUCAAAGGGAGGCAACAAAAUGGCACAAAAAAUGGCUAUUUAGAAGACAACUUUAGUGAUACGGACUUACAAUUUAGCCUCUGCAGGUUUGAUUUUUACUAUACUUCUCAUUGGUAAUAAAUUGAAAUUCAAUUUUUUCCCAUCUCAGGUCUAGCGACAACUUCUUUAAGUUGUCUAACGAAUGUUGUUAAGACUAGAAUGAUGAAUUAGAAAGCUAAUUUAUUUGAUUUUCUGAUUGGUGCAUUGGGAUUUUCUGUUGAAUUCUGUUAGUUGAGUUCUUUGUUGAAUUCCGGUUGUACAUUCUUUUUCUCUGGUAUGAUUUUUUUUAAUCAGUUGAUUAUGGCUUGGAAAUUUUUACGGUUUUGCAGAAUGGCAGUUUUGGACUGAUUUUGUGUUCAUGUUGGAUUGUUUUCGUGCAGGUGCAGGUAUUUUGUAUUGCUGUGAAUUGAUCUUAAUAGAACAAACGCUGCUAUUCCGACCUGAUAUCUAAGUUGAGUUAGAAGUUAUUCCUGAAAUAGAUUAACUGCCAGGUUCUCCAAAUGUGAUAUGUACUCUACUAUACAGGUUUUUUGUUACAAAAUUUGUACAUCAAUCUGAUAUUUUUGUUUCAUUAAUUAUUGACUAUAAUUGAUCUAUCGGUAUUCUGUUAUGACUGAAACAUCACGAAACCAUCAUAUUAUUAUGGUAUUCUGUUUCCUUACAUCCUACAUUUAACAAAAAUUGUUAAAUUUGGAUCAGUUUGUAUCAUCUAAUCCUAACUUUUUAUAUAGCUUAAUUGACGUUUAGUUAAUAUUUCAUAUCUAUAUUAAUUUUAAUUUAUUGUCUUUGUUAUGAAGAAUCAUGUAAUGGGAUGUUUUUGUAUUUUAAACUAGCUUGUUAAAAUAAUGUACUGAUUACAAAUUUGAUUAUUUAAAUAUAUUAUUAAAAAAUUGAGAAAAGUUAAAAUAUCAAGUUAAAAUUCACUCAAUAAAUUUACUAUUUCUGCGGGUCACUAUCACCACAAUAUUAUUUUAUAUUUUAACCUUUAACUCAAUAAAAGAGACUAAAGUUGUAAGUUUUUAUUAAUUCUCUAUUUGAAAACGUUUAAGUUUUGUAACAAACCCUUAGUACU